AUCCAGUUGAUGAGUCCCAAAUAGGACGAAAUGUGCGUUAUCCUCGAU
rnacentral:hammerhead_ribozyme from 1 species